GCCCUGUGGAUAGCUCAGCCGGUAGAGCAUGAGAUUCUUAAUCUGAGGGUUGUCAGUUCAAGCCCCACCUUGGGCA